rnacentral:rRNA from 1 species
UACGGGGGGGGCGAGCGUUGUUCGGAAUUACUGGGCGUAAAGGGUGCGUAGGCGGUGCUCUAAGUCGGAUGUGAAAACUCUGGGCUCAACCCAGAGCCUGCAUCCGAAACUGGAGUGCUAGAGUUCUGGAGGGGGUAGCGGAAUUCCUGGUGUAGCGGUGAAAUGCGUAGAUAUCUGGAGGAACACCGGUGGCGAAGGCGGCAUCCUGGACCAUGACUGACGCUGAGGAGCGAAAGCCAGGGGAGCAAACGGG